rnacentral:rRNA from 1 species
GAUGAACGCUGGCGGCGUGCCUAAUACAUGCAAGUCGAGCGAACGGACGAGGAGCUUGCUCCUUUGACGUUAGCGGCGGACGGGUGAGUAACACGUGGAUAACCUACCUAUAGGACUGGGAUAACUUCGGGAAACCGGAGCUAAUACCGGAUAAUAUAUUGAACCGCAUGGUUCAAUAGUGAAAGACGGUUUUGCUGUCACUUAUAGAUGGAUCCGCGCCGCAUUAGCUAGUUGGUAAGGUAACGGCUUACCAAGGCAACGAUGCGUAGCCGACCUGAGAGGGUGAUCGGCCACACUGGAACUGAGACACGGUCCAGACUCCUACGGGAGGCAGCAGUAGGGAAUCUUCCGCAAUGGGCGAAAGCCUGACGGAGCAACGCCGCGUGAGUGAUGAAGGUCUUCGGAUCGUAAAACUCUGUUAUUAGGGAAGAACAAAUGUGUAAGUAACUAUGCACGUCUUGACGGUACCUAAUCAGAAAGCCACGGCUAACUACGUG